GGGGGGGGGGGGGGGCGGGCCUGAGACGGGCAAGUCGGGCGAACGGACGAGAGUGCGUGCACUCUCUGACGUUAGCGGUGGCCGGGUGAGUAACACGUGGGUAACCUACCUAUAAGACUGGGAUAACUUCGGGAAACCGGAGCUCAUACCGGAUAAUAUUUAGCUUCGCAUGACGCAAUAGUGAAAGACGGUUCUGCUGUCACUUAUAGAUGGACCCGCGGUGUAUUAGCUAGUUGGUGAGGUAACGGCUCACCAAGGCAACGAUACAUAGCCGACCUGAGAGGGUGAUCGGCCACACUGGGACUGAGACACGGCCCAGACUCCUACGGGAGGCAGCAGUAGGGAAUCUUCCGCAAUGGACGAAAGUCUGACGGAGCAAUGCCGCGUGAGUGAAGAAGGUUUUCGGAUCGUAAAACUCUGUUGUAAGGGAAGAACAAGUACGUUAGUAACUGAACGUACCUUGACAGUACCUUAACAGAAAGCCACGGCUAACUACGUG
rnacentral:rRNA from 1 species